AUUUCGGAAUGGACCAUUAAAUUGGUUCCAGUCAGCAAGUGUCCAAAUUUUGUUUUGUGCCCGAGCUCUCUCAAGUCCCGAACCCAUUUAGUUAUAAAAACAAUGACAGAUUAUGCUACCAUAAUUAGGGAUCUACUAAUAUAGCUACUCCGUGCUUUAAUUUAUUGUGAAUUUCUUACAGUAAACAGCUCUGGAUGUGAACGAGUACGAGUCGACCACAGUUAAUAUUUUAACCAAAAAAAAAAAAAGUAGAUCUUAAUUAAUUGAGAAAGAACCACGCCGCCGUCCAGCUAUAUGGCUAACAAUGUAUAGAAGUAUUUCCCAAAUUAUGUAUCACUGCCAAAAGGAAGAAGCAGCAGCAGAAGAAGAAGAAGAAGAUGUAUUAGCUAAUUAAGAUACUGUACAUGCGAAUGGAGACAGGAGAACUGUGUCUGUAAAUUAAAGAAGACAAAUUUAAGAACGAUGAAUUAGAGAGAGAAGAAUUAUAAGAAUUAGACAAAAGGAAAAGAAAAAUAAAUGAACAAACUUUGAUGGAGGAAAACUGAGAUUUAUUGUUAUAUGCACCACGACAAUUUUUAAUAUUUUGAUGUUGUUGAUAUUUUGUCAAAGCUGUACCCCCUGCCCUGCCGCCCAUGCAUGCAUAAUAUAUUUAUAUUAUAUAGAUCGAGAUAUUUAAUAGUCUUUGCAGUAGAUCGAUCGUCCUAUAUUAAAUUAAUAUUGAUGUUUUACCUAUCAAUUAUCAUUUAAUUAGUUUAAAUUCAAUUGGUAGCACUGUACCGAAAGUGUUUUAUUUAAUCAUUCAUAGGCUAAUUUAAUACCACUAAUCCUUUUUCGGACACUCACACAUUCUUUAAAACAACAACAACAGUUAACAACUAUACUUUCUCACGAUCCGCCCUGGCUAGCUGGUGAGAACAAUGCAAACAUGGAAUGAAUAGCCAACGAUCGCGCCACCUAAUGUAUGUGUGUAUGUACGUACGUGUUCGUGUGUGUACUGUAGUAAUCUUGAAGUUGGUUCGUUCGUAAUCACUCAAGCAUCACGCGCUGAAGAGGCUCAUGUUUUGAAAACAAAAGCAGCUGACCCUUUUCCAUUGUUUCUGGCUCUAGUUCUUUUGUGAGAUUCAUCGAUUGGUAUUAGCUACUACUGCAACUCUAACUUAUUCAAGGCCUUCUUCUAGCAAUCUAGAGCUGAAAUCUACAGGCUUCCACUGCACUCAGCUUAUCAUAAUCAGCUAGUACUAUAGAUGCAGGCAACUCAGUUCCAACCAAUUUAGUCAAGUACAGUCUACAGAGAGUGGUGCAGAUGUAGGCCAGGUCUACAGACCCCUGGAAAUACUGUCACAGCUAGAGCUUGAAAGUGAUGCUGAUGAGGAUGCCCAGCCUUUUUCUGCCAGUAACUCAGUCAAAACUGGUGGUGAGACUUUAUUGUCUGUUUUCGGUGGAAGAUGCUGCUCUUUCGAUUGCCUGGUGAUAGUGACACGAGCAGAUGCAGCUGCAGCCCGCUCAGCCUUCAAGGAGAAAUCUUUGUAUGAUCAGCGGAUAUAGCUUCUGAAGUACUUCAGGACUCAUUCUUCUCAAGCUGAAGAUGCGAGCUUUCAGUUCUCAUUCAGCAUUAGUCUAGAGCCGGUGUGUGCUACAGCCUGGUACCAGGUGAUUGGAAUUGUGAGAUCAAGAUUCUACUACUAGCAAAAACGGUUCAUAGCAGCAGUGAGAGACAGAAAUACUACAAGCACAUUCAAAAAGCGAAGGCAAGCCCAGACAAAUAUAUGAGCAUCAUCAUCGAUGGGAUAUGGAUCAACACUGCACAGCAAUACCGCAACUACACCCAGCACCCAAAGCCCUAAGCCACACGGACCAACUCAACACACACAUCACUGGUGCAAUUGUAGAUGGAAGUGGUCAACACACUCAUAUCGACAUCAAAGAAUACCUUCAUGACAGCAACCUCACCAUCAACAUCAUCCUCAACAUUCUCAUCCACUGCACCGACUCCCUUCCACCAACUUUGUAUCUCCGAUUAGACAAGACAGCAAGGGAGAACAAGAAUCGACACGUCUUUGCCUUUCUCUCUCUCUUAAUGGAGCUCAUUAUCUUCAAAAAGAAGACGAUGCAACAGUGAGGUGGCCCAUUUGCGACUUAAUGCUAGCAGGCACUCAAACAGUGAAUGCUCACAGCAGCAAGUGUAUGCUGACAUCACAGAGGAAAAACCAUACAGACAGGUUCAUCUUGGACCCAAUGCGAGGAAGGCUCAAGAGGACAGAAAUACUGGAGGGAGAUAUGGUGGCCACCUACCGCGAGGCGUAUAGCACACAAUGACCACAGAUAGGACAAGGACAAGAUGUGGACAAGGUCAGGGAGGAUGUCCUUGUACUAGAAUGGUUUACAGGGACAUUGACAACAAAAUGGAAGAAGAUGAUGGUUGCUAUCACAGGACAGCGGGACUGGAAGCAGGUUUGGGUUGAGACCAUUCCAAGGGAUAGUGUAAUUCUCCUUCCUUUCACUCUGACAGCAAGAGACAAACUGCCACCUCAGUUAGUGAUUCGAUUGAAGGAGAAAUAUAUGGAUUAUUUGAAGUAGGUAUUCAGGCCUAGUUAAAGCCCUUCUAUAGUGUUGGGACCCCCCCCCCCCCAAUUUGAUGGCAAUAUUCCACAUAGAGUGCGUACUGACAUAUGGUUUUCGAUGAACACACAAUUCUGCAAGGAUUUUCAUGACGCUAGUGAUUGAAGACAAAUUUUGGUAAUAGAAAUAAAGGAAUUUCAAUUUUUCUCUUUUAAGCAUACAACUCAAUUUUUAAAAAGAUUUGUUUUUAAAUCAUCACUAAGAUAACAAAUGAACUUUCGAACAUUAAGUUUUAAGUAACAUGUAUAUGUGAUAAAUUGUUCGCCCUGAAACUGCACUGAAAUAUUUUAUUCGGCUCAAGUUCUUAUCUAGAAAAUAUCAGAGGAUAUCAGAGGAGGAGAGACAGACUAAUUCCAUGUCAACUGUAAAUGUAAAACAUUUUUUUCCCGUAUGAGUAUAAAUUUAUCUCAAAAUUGUUUGCAUAUGGGAUGUAGUCUUAACCCCCUCCCCCCCCCCCCCCCAUCCCCCACCCCUGCUUAUUCACAGGCUGGCUGAGUCGUUGCGAAAUUUUCGGCGCGAUUUUCAGAUUUUAAAACCCCACCUUGGAAAAAGUCCUGCGUACGCCCCUGUAAGUUGGUAUAAAGCUUAUACCAUUUAGUGCCCUGUUGGUUGGUAUAAUGCUUAUACCAUUUAGUGCUCUGUAGAUU